GACGAACGCUGGCGGCGUGCUUAACACAUGCAAGUCGAACGGAAAGGCCCUGCUUUUGUGGGGUGCUCGAGUGGCAAACGGGUGAGUAACACGUGAGUAACCUGCCCUUGACUUUGGGAUAACUUCAGGAAACUGGGGCUAAUACCGGAUAGGAGCUCCUGCUGCAUGGUGGGGGUUGGAAAGUUUCGGCGGUUGGGGAUGGACUCGCGGCUUAUCAGCUUGUUGGUGGGGUAGUGGCUUACCAAGGCUUUGACGGGUAGCCGGCCGGAGUGGGUGACCGGCAACAUUGGGACUGGGAUACGGCCAAGACUCCUACGGGAGGCAGAAGGGGGGAAUAUGGCACAAUGGGCGGAACCCGGAUGCAGCAACGCCGCGGGCGGGAUGACGGCCUUCGGGUUGUAACCCGUUUUCGCCUGUGACGAAGUGUGAGUGACGGUAAUGGGUAAAGAAGCACCGGCUAACUACGUG
rnacentral:rRNA from 1 species